AAUUGUUUGUAUGAUGUUAUUCUUCCCAUGCCAGUCUCAGAUUAGUGGCCUCAUGCGUGUUUCCCCCACAGAUGCCUAUGACAUUCUGCCCUCCCCAGACUGUCACAGUCAGCCUGGGGAACUUUCAGAAGGAAUACUUAUGGGAUAUCCUCACAGCAGCAGAAAAACCCUGCCCGGCAGCCGAUGUGCUAUUUUAGUAACUCCAUUCUGGCAGCACUGUCCCUGUGGGACUUGACACCACAGGCCUGGUUGGCCUCACUACUGGCAUGCAGUAGUGAUCAUGAGGUGGGCCAGGGCAUUCGCAGCAUAAGGUCAAUAUCAACCCCCCUUGCCUUGCCUGUUUCCCCGGAAUUACUUGCUGAGGUGAAACUGCAGGCCCCUAAAAAGCGUGCCCUACAAAAUAUGGAGUGCUGGCCCACAUAGCAAUUAGCCUACAUUUGUCAUGCCACAGAAUAUGCUCCAGGGCCAAAACAGUGUGGAUAGCCAAGGAACUGAUUCUGAAACAUGUUAUAAAAAAUAAUGUAUACACAGCUGAUUUAUUUUACAUGCGUAGUAAAAUGAACAAAUUCAUUUUAUUCUGGUUUUAUAAGGCUCAGUUAACUUCUUCUUGAUUGGUCCCUCAGUCCAUCCCUCAUUAUAAUUUUUUAACUCCUAGUAAUGAUCACAGAUUCACAGAUGACUCUUUUCUGGCAGAGAUCUCACAUAAAAGAAACACAAAGUUAGUAAAAAUCUGGUGAGAUGAUUGAUCCUGGCCAGUUAGUUAAUCACUUCUCACUAUCAGAAAAGCUGAACCACAAUCUUAAAUGUUAACGCUUCUGGUUGGUGUGCCAACUGGCCAAACUACACCCAUAUAGCUCUGAAUAAAUCUUAGUUCACAGUCACCUUUGCUCAAAAGGGUCACGUGCUGAAGCUUUGGGGUCAUUCACAGAGAGGUACACAGGAAGUCUGGAACCCUGAGAUAAAAUCUUGGAUUGGGAGGGGAUAGAGUAUCUGGGAGGAAAAAGGGAUAGAUAACCAAGUAUUGUGGUUUCCACUGUUUGAAGAGUGAUUUCUUAGUAUGGUGAAAUGCCGUAUGUAGCAAGUUUAGAGAAACGUUAAUUUAAAACUUGCCACAAUUUCUUUUCCUUAGCUAGCAAGAGGUUUUACAGCCAUGUAAGCAGGCACCUUGCAGAUUGUGCUUCUAAGAAAUUCCAUCAACAGGACUGUGAGGACAGGACACUGCAGAUACCUUGCAUCUGCAUCUCAAAGACAAUAUCCCUCCAGAAGGAGCACAAUAUCCCUCCAGAAAGAAGCUUUCUCCUGACAGCAAGAGCAAAAUUUUCAUUUUAGCCAGCAAAGACAUACAUUCUACUGCCACACAACUACAGGG
ensembl:lncRNA